rnacentral:misc_RNA from 1 species
GUUCCCUGCCCAUGGCCACCGUCGCCUGUCUCAGGUGCUCGCUCGGCCAUCUUCCUCCUCCUGUGUCGCACCCCUGCUCCUCCAGGCUGGCCGCACGCUCAUCUUCCUUCUCUGCGCGACGGCUUUCCCCACCGGUGUCCGUGCCCAGCGCCCGCUCGGUUCUCCCUGGUGCACGCUCCUCUGCUCCGACCGCGCGUUCCUCUAGCUCGCGGGGUUCCUCCUCUGCCGGCUCGGCCAAAUCGAAUCUCCCUGGUACCUCGCUCUCUGUUCGGCCAUGGAGCUCACCCAGCUCAGAUCGCGACCCUCUCUACUCGUCCUCCACUUCGCCCAUGGCACCCCGGCCAACCUCGUCGACCUUGCGUGUCUCCCUACGCCCAGUACGGAUCUCGCCCAAGUUGCUGCCGUCACUCUGCUCGGUGCCUACAGCUCGCCCCUGCGCGUCAUCCACCUCCAGCACUUUCCCCCUGCGUCGCGCGGACCUUCCCAGAGCUCGCCCUGCGCUCGGAUUCCAUCUCCCUGCGCGCGCUAGCUUCAGCUCAGCCGCGUGCUCCUCUCUGCCGGUGCCCAAGCCCUCUGCUCGCUCUUUUGCGUCGUGGCCCCUGCUCCGCUAUCUCCAUGGCCCAGCUCGCCAUGGCCGUCGCAGCCUAGCUCGGUUGCCCAUCUCCCUGAAUCUCCUCAGUGUUUUUCCUGCCCCAUUUGUCGCCGUUCAAGCCUUGGAGCUCCCUCGCGGCGACUUCCCCUGUCGGAGCCCAGCCCAUCUCUCUGUCUUUCCAUGGCCACGCGCCCGACUCCUGGGCGCUGAGAUUCCUGGUGAGCUCGCCCUGCCCUGUACGGCGUUCCUCCCUGGCAGUCACGCCAUCCGCGUGCCCUCCCUGCUCUUCCUCCCCAUUUCCUUCGAGCUCGCCGAGCUCUUCCCUCUUUAUGGUGCCCAACCCGCUGCGCCGUGACCCCCCAGUCCUCUCUCAUGGCGGCGCGCCCAUCCUCUGCUCCCUCUUCCUGGAUCUCGCGCGCCCCUGGUUCGCCCCUGCUGAGCGUGUCGAGCCCCUCUGUUGUGUGCGCAAAGUUCUCUGCUUGCCACGACGCGUCGAGCUCCCGUGCCAAAUCCUUUUCUAGCUCACCACGACGCCCGGCGUCCUAUCUGCUUUGCUCACCCGCGUCGGCUACUCGCUGGUGCUUCAACUCGUCAGAUGUCGUUGUCCUAUCCGUGUCAGCACGCGACCGUGGUCGUGUUCGUCGAGUUCGCCAACGCUCUAUUGCUGAUUCGACUGUCGUCGCAGUUGUGUGCUUCGCUGCGUGCUCGCCGAGUGUUGUCGGUUGUACCUUAGCACUCGUGCUUGCCGCUGGCUAGCGUUAACGCUCGCGCGCCUGCUCGUUGUCACUGCGUCGCACUCGCUCUUCGUCCAUCGGGCUUCGCGCGUGCUCGCGUUUGCCGUCGAGCUAUUGAACCCGUCCUUCCUUGCUCGUGACUUUGUCGUUGCCAGAGCCCUCACUAGAUUUGUGUCCUCGCCAGCUUGCUCUAGACACAAUCUCGUCGUCGUUCCGUGUGUCAUCAAGAAAUCCCAAGAAUCGGGUGAAGACAAAGCUAGCAGCGUGAUAUUCACCAAGUGCUCGACAACAGCUUGAAAAAGUCGUCAAUCGUCAUCUUUGUCUAUGCCAAGCCCCAAGCCGUGAAGACACUCUUGUGCUGGCCAUGCGUCACCAGCUCGACAAAAAGGAAUCCCACAGGUAUUUGGUCAAGAAUGGAAACUGUAUGCCUCGCUCGCUAGACGUGUGUGAUCAAUGACGUCAACCGGAAACCGUCGUCGUGCUUGCGACUAUCGCGUCGAAUUAGUCAGGGUAAGUAAAUUUGUUAUUAGUGUUAGUGGAUUGGUGGAUGGUUUGACUAGGUAUAAUAUUUAUUAGAUUGCCUGAGUCGCUUUGGUAAAUUGGUCGAUGUCGUAGGAUAAAAGAGGUCUCAAUAGGUCUCAGUGUUGCGGGGCUGUAGGUGUUAAAAAUGGGAAGUUUUAUUUAUAUAUAUGAUACAUAGGUUAACCAGUAAAUUAGUUUAGAAAGUUUAUGAAAGUUCUUCUAUCAAAUUUUAUAAGUGUUAGGUGUCCAAGAAUUUUGAAGUUAAAGUUAUAAGUCGUUUAGUGUGCUCUCUAAACUAGGUAUGAUAUUUUAUGUGUUGGUCGAUUUCAUGAUUUGAAUGAAUGUUGAUUGCUACUUCAAAUAUUUAGGAUCAAGUAACAUCGAUAUAUCUUUUAGUUCUAAAGUUGUAAUUGGUAUAUUGUAUAAAAUAUGCUUGGUUAUAGGUUAUAAGUGUUUCAUCCUUUUUAGCGUAAAUUAUCUAUCUUGUACUAUUUAUACUCGUACUCAUACAUGUGCAUCGUGUAUCUCAUGAGGUACGAUAAAUAAUCUCGUGGUAAGGAAGACGAACCAAGUCGACCCCAAGCACGGGCUAAUCCACACGGUGAUGUUGAAGGACGAACCUGCCUGAUCAAGUGCUAGGACAAGGAUGAUCGUCAAGUGGACGUCGCCUAACAAACACUAACCUAGUGUUAUUCAGGUUAUGAGUCACUUUGAUUGUGAUUGGUGUUAAGCGCCGGUGGGCACGGCCUUCUAUAAGUCUAUGUACUUCUUCUAUACUUCUUAUUGAGGAUGUUCACUUAAGCUAGC